ensembl:snRNA U6 U6 spliceosomal RNA
GUGCUCACUUUGGCAGCACAUACACUAAAACUGGAACAGAGAAGGUCAGCAUGGCCCCUGUGCAAGAAAUUGAGUAAGAGUCUGAACAGUUAGUG